AAGUCUGUACUGGCAGGGAUCAUUUCCAUAAUUUCAAACUAGAGACGUGUACUCAAAAGUGAUUGGUUAAGUGAACCAUAAGAACAUGUCAGAAUGUUUUCUUCUGAGCCCAAAGUGAGUGGGCAGGAUUGCAUUUAUGCAGAUGCUGCUUACUAUUAAUGACCAUUUUGUUUUCUUUUUCUAAGAGGGUUGGAGGGAGAGAACAUAGGCUGAGUAGC